AACCACAAAAACCAUAUUACACCCUACUGUUACACACAACAGCUUAUCUUCUUCAUUCUUCAAACACACCCACCAAAAAUGGAAGCUAAACCUCAUGAAUUCGAAAACCCUGAUUCUGAAACCCCAACUGAAGACCAAUCGCACCUCUCCAUUGCUCCCUUUACCUCCAUUUCACUUUCUCUUCCCAUCCACUUCAUCUCCCCACCAAAAAUCUCACCGUUCCCUUCCCAAAUCCCUAAAUUUGUGAAAAUCCAUAAUCAAAUCUCUUCCCUUUGCAAUCUUUCUCUCUCUUCCAACACCCUCAACCCCACCAAACCAUUCUUCAAGUCCACUGUCUCUGCAAACCCUCUUCAAAAUCCAUUAUCUCUAAACCCUCGCCGCCCAUCUGACCCCUCCAAUGCCGCCGGCGGACGUCGCGCCUCCGUGGUGUGGUUCCGUAACGAUCUUCGCGUUCACGAUAAUGAAUCUUUGUCCUCUGCUAACAAUGAGUCAAUGUCAGUGUUACCAGUUUAUUGUUUCGACCCUAGAGACUACGGGAAAUCUUCAUCUGGGUUCGAUAAAACCGGGCCAUACCGUGCAUCUUUCUUGAUUGAAUCGGUUUCCAAUUUGAGAAAGAAUCUUCAAGCCAGAGGGUCGGAGCUUAUAGUUCGAAUUGGAAAACCUGAAAAGGUUUUAGCUGAGUUAGUAAAGGAAGUAGGCGCAGAGGCAGUGUAUGCACAUAGGGAAGUGUCUCAUGAUGAGGUGAAGGGUGAAGAAAAGAUCGAGACAGCAUUGAAAGACGAAGGAGUGGAUGUAAAGUACUUCUGGGGAAGUACAUUGUACCAUAUUGAUGAUUUACCCUUCAAGUUGGAAGAAAUGCCCACCAAUUACGGUGGGUUUAGGGAGAAAGUGCAGGGGUUAAAAAUCAGGAAGACGAUUGAUGCACUUGAUCAGUUGAGAGGGUUGCCGGCUGGUGGUGACGUGGAGCCUGG
rnacentral:lncRNA from 1 species